rnacentral:rRNA from 1 species
UCCCUACGGGGCGCAGCAGUGAGGAAUAUUGGUCAAUGGGCGCAAGCCUGAACCAGCCAAGUCGCGUGAGGGAAGACGGCCCUACGGGUUGUAAACCUCUUUUGCUGGGGAGCAAGCCUGAGCACGUGUGCCCAGGCGGAGAGUACCCGGAGAAAAAGCAUCGGCUAACUCCGUGCCAGCAGCCGCGGUAAUACGGAGGAUGCGAGCGUUAUCCGGAUUUAUUGGGUUUAAAGGGUGCGCAGGCGGCGAGUUAAGUCAGCGGUAAAAUUUCGGGGCUCAACCCCGACGAGCCGUUGAAACUGGCU